rnacentral:rRNA from 1 species
AACGAACGCUGGCGGCAGGCUUAACACAUGCAAGUCGAGCGGAUGACGGGAGCUUGCUCCUUGAUUCAGCGGCGGACGGGUGAGUAAUGCCUAGGAAUCUGCCUGGUAGUGGGGGACAACGUUUCGAAAGGAACGCUAAUACCGCAUACGUCCUACGGGAGAAAGCAGGGGACCUUCGGGCCUUGCGCUAUCAGAUGAGCCUAGGUCGGAUUAGCUAGUUGGUGGGGUAAUGGCUCACCAAGGCGACGAUCCGUAACUGGUCUGAGAGGAUGAUCAGUAACACUGGAACUGAGACACGGUCCAGACUCCUACGGGAGGCAGCAGUGGGGAAUAUUGGACAAUGGGCGAAAGCCUGAUCCAGCCAUGCCGCGUGUGUGAAGAAGGUCUUCGGAUUGUAAAGCACUUUAAGUUGGGAGGAAGGGCAGUAAGCGAAUACCUUGCUGUUUUGACGUUACCGACAGAAUAAGCACCGGCUAACUCUGUGCCAGCCGCCGCAGUAAAAC